rnacentral:rRNA from 1 species
CCUACGGGAGGCAGCAGUGAGGAAUAUUGGUCAAUGGACGAGAGCCUGAACCAGCCAAGUAGCGUGAAGGAUGACUGCCCUAAGGGUUGUAAACUUCUUUUAUAAAGGAAUAAAACGAUGCACGUGUAACUUUUUGCAUGUACUUUAUGAAUAAGGACCGGCUAACUCCGUGCAAGCAUCCGCGGUAAUACGGAGGAUCCGAGCGGUAUCCGGAUUUAUUGGUGUUAAAGGGAUCGUAGAUGGGUUGUUAAGUCAGGUGUGAAAGUUUGCGGCUCAACCGGAAAAUUGCAAUUGAGACUGGCAGUCUUGAGUACAGUGGAGGGAAGCGGAAUUCGGGGUGUAGCGGUGAAAUGGUUAG